AUCACACGGCAGGGGUCCCACGCGAGAGCUCCCGCAGAGCCACUUUUAUUUGGAACACGUUCCCUCCAUACAAAGGGCGGUGGCGCGGCUGCUGAGGCCGUACUGGCGCGGGCACACUGCCGACACAAGGAGGUCUAAGUACGUGUCUGACGUGCAUCUCCCCACCCACAUACUGAGGCAGAUGAGCUACACGGGCUGCGUGCAUCGCCAGCGAGACCUCAAGCCGCUUCCCGGCAAACCUGCGGACUCUGAACGCUUGGCGAUGACUCGUCGCCACCUGGAACGCGCUUCUGAAGUAUCUACUGCUGCACCUAUGCGACAAUCUGCGCAACAUCGCACGCAAAUUGUCCGACGCGAGCUGCCCAACUCUGUGGUUGCCGGUGACACCUCGGACGAUGCCCCAGCAGCAACAGACCCAGCCACAGCUAGUCGCUGGACUGCACCCUCGCCCGACGCCAGUGGCUUUGAAGCAGGAGCCAACUCGCCCGGCUCUUCCCCCUGUGCCUGAGAUGGACGAAAUCACGACCUAGAUUAGAUUAGAUUAGUACUUGUUCCAUAGAUCAUGAAUACGAUACUUCGUAAUGAUGUGGAACGUGUCAGGUUAA